AUGACCUUCCCGACCCUCCCUCUCAGCAGUUUUCCUCCGUCCUUCUGCUCAUGGCAGCACAAGGGACAGAAAAGACAGAGGGCAGUUUCUGCCUUCAGCGAGUUUAUGGAUUAUCUUGGGCUAAAUUUGGUAACUUGAGUGUCACUCUUUCCAGCUCUGACCUCCUGGCAAGACUAUUCCUGAGGCUUUGAUCAAUAACUGCUGUCUGGAGCAGUCUGACCUCGCACAGUGAAGAGCUUGGAGCAAAAUACGUCUUGUUCACCUGCCCCAUGCCAGGCACUCUACUAGGCACUAGAGACCCGGCAGUGAAUAAAUCAUGCGCCCUGAAAUAUGACAGCUGUUGCCCUGAUUUGGGCUCCAGCCGCCCUGCCCCAGGCUCCUGGCAGCCAGGAAUGGAUCUUCAAUCCCGCCCGCCAAGAGGGAUUCCCAUUUCAGGCUAUUCUUCCUGCAGGCACAUACACCUGCCCUCCCCCAGCCUCUGACGUGGGGCAGACACAGGAGCCCAGUGAUCGGCUCAGCUCGAAUAAAUUACCAGCCCAUCAUCUUCAUGCAUAAAACAUGGCACAGGAGGCCGGGAGAGGCUCGGCCGGGCAGCCCAGUGCAGCAGCUGCCUCCAAGGCCAUUCCGGAGUUAAGGGAAGGAAAGGCAAGGCAAGUUACAAGAUAAAAGAAGUCGACGGAAGCCUCGGAUAUAAAAAAGGAGAAGAGGGCUUAAAAAAAAUUUUUUUUUUAUACGUCUGGCCUUGACUUCCUGUCUCUCUACGAGCCCUUUUGUUCCCCCAAGCCAUGAGCAGGGAUUAGACCCUCGUUUGGGGACCAUGGUGUUACCUUCGCGAUUGCACUGGAUCAGGAACAGGCCAUGGAGGGACAGGAUCCGGAGGCGGCAGCUCAACCCUAAAGGGAAGACAUUGUACCAGAGCCAAAGGAGGAAGAAGAAAUAUUAGGCUUUGAAUGGCCACACGGAACCUGUAAUUGUUAAGUCCAAAACGACUUGUUCAAGCAGCAAGACAGCAAAGAGAAGAGGAUUUCGGUUGCAAGAUAAUCUUAUUUUCCUUACUCCAGUGCUCAAGGUGAUUACCAUACCAUGCAAUCCCAUAUCCCACUGCCACACCCUUCGUGAACCUUCCCCCUCAAAGGCCAGUUCGCACAAUGGAUUAAGAGCCUGGGUUCUGGCACCAGAGCACUCGGGUGGGCAUCCUGCCUCUGGUCCUGGUGAACUGUGAGACCCGGAGUGAGGCGAUGAGCGUCCCUGGGCCACACUUUCUUCAUUUGUAAAAUGAGGCUCAUGAAAGUCCCCACCUGCCUGAGUUACUCUGUGGACUCAAUAAGUUACAUUUAUAAAGUUCUGAGGCUGGAUCCCGUGCCAUACAGUAAGCACAAAUAAUAAUAAACCUUGUGUUUAGCGUGUGGCAUGGGAUCCAUCCUAAGAAUGUGACUUUUGUCACUCACAGCUGUAUCCUCAGCGCCUAUGACAGCACCCAGCACAGACAUGGGGAAACUGAGGCUUGUGGAGUUGAAUGACCUGCCUCUGAGGACCCUGCCGAUGCCAGUCCAAGCUGGGAUUCCAGUCUACAAGUUUGGGUUCAGAACCCGCCCUCUUGACUACCCCAUUAUACUGUAUCCUCUGGUUUUCACAUGGCAGGGGCUCCUUAAAUGUUGCUCAAAUUGCUUAUGGAAACGUCUUGAACCUUCUCACUCUUCACACCAACUCCCCCUGGCCUGGAACACUCUCCUUUUCUGCAGGUAUCCCCGCCAUUUCUUAUCACUUCCACGUGUUCCGCAGUGUUCUUCUCCUCUGAAUUUUCAUUGCUCUUUAAUAGUAACACUCACUGGCACUGACCAUAUCCCGUCUUGUUUUGUAACUCAUCUUUUUUUAUGUGCCUUGUUUCUCCAACAAGACUGUAAAUCCACUGAGGAUGCACUUCGUUUGCCUUAUGGUUCUUUAUGUUCCCGGCCGGGACUAGGAUGGCGCCUUGCCUGGAGCAGACUCUCCUUAAACUCUGGCUGAUUGAUAACAGGGGUGCACUAGCAGCUAGAAAUGGAUGAAGCAUCCUCCUCUUACCACGGCCUCUUCUCCUGCUACAGCACAUCCUGCCCCUCGAUCAUGACUGUGAAAAGAGGAGGGGCUUGGGUGAUGGAUGUUAAUGACAGGUGUCCUUCAUGUCUUUCCUUGGGUCUGCCACAUCUGGUACUCAGCGUAGAGGGAGUAUCUGAAAAUGAGUUAACUUCUUCCUUUUCUAGAGGCUCAAGGAAACCCAGAGAGGCAUCUUUUUUUUUUUUCCCCUGAAUUCAGAACCAUUUUAGAUACAGGAAAUAGGCAGAAGAAAAUCAAAGUAACACCUGUAUAACAGGAAAUAGAGAUACAUUUUCUUUUAUUUAUUUAUUUAGUUUUUAAUAGUUAUUUCCCCAAUACAUUUUUUUUUGUACUGUACAGCAUGGUGACCCAGU